UCUCUCUAAACUCUCUGUCUCAAAAUUAAACCUUGAAGACCGUCUCUCUCAGCCUCAACCUAGAACCAUCGACCUCACCAUCGACGGACUCUGUCGGCCAGCUCCGGUGACGGACGACAACUGCCGGUGAUUGACGACCAGUUUCGGCUAACAUACGAGCAAUCUCCGAGAAUAGGAGCGCUUUUGGCCUCAGCUGCAUCGUCGUUUUCGACUCCAAUGGCGCCGUUGUUGUUGUUGUUGUUUGAAGAAAAAUGGUUUCACUGCUCCUUUUCCUUUGGAGGUAAAUCUCCAACGCCUUGCUUUCCUAUUCUCCCUUCCCAUCACAAAGGUGAAUAGCAAAAGAGGAAACUCAUAAAAGGAGGUCUAUUGUGGAGAUACUGAUAGACAUGAGUCAAGAAAGGCCUUCAAAGCCCAAAAGAAAGACUAGUGCAACAUACGCAAAACCUGGAACAAUGGAAUCUUUGGCAAAUCAAAUAAGGAGUUCGUUUAGCCAAAAAUAUGGUGUUCCCGCUAGACAAUCAAAGAAAGAGCUUUCGAAUAUUAUUGAAGAGAAUCUGCCACAAUAUCCAGGAGUAGUAGCCCAUGUACAAACUAGAUCAACCACUUCUGCAAAAUAUGUUGUUCCUGCUAAACAAUCAAACAAAGAGCUAGCGUCCGAAUAUCAUUGAAGAGAAUUUGCUACUGCCACAAUAUUCAGGAGUAGCAGCCCAUGUACAAACUAGAUCAACCACUCCUGCCACACAAGUAAUAGAUGAACAAGUGGAGGAACAAGUUCAGUUGGAUUCUACAACUCCUACCGUAGAUGAACAAUGUGAAGAACAAGGCCCUUCUAUUCAACCAAGAAAAAGAGGUAGAACAAAGAUGAAAAAUGUACAUGGAUGCCAAGAGCGUAGAGUGAUUUUACGUUACUACUUAAAUCAACCUGUUGGUCCUAGUGAUAAAGUUGUGGUAGAGUUUGGAAGCUUCCUCGGCACAUUGGCAAGGAAUGCGACUCUAUGUCCUCUUGAUAUUUUGGAUUAGAGGAAGAUGGGCACAAAAGAGGAUACAUGGGAAUAUACCAAGGAUAAAUAUGAUAUUCCUGAAGUUGGAAAAAAAUUUACAUUGGAAUCAGUGCAAGCUACCUGGAGAAAGCACAAGAGUAGAUUGAAAAAAGAUCAUUUUGAUGCCUAUCACAAUGAUGAAACUCGAUUGCCAAAUAUCCCUGAAGAUGUUCCAGCUUCUCAGUUUAAGGAACUCCUUAGGUAUUGGAACUCAGAGAAACUCCAGAGAAUGUCCCAAAAUUAAUAUUGAGAACCGAAAAAAGUUAAAGAAUCCUCACACUGCUGGAAAGAGAAGUUUUGCUUUAGUUCGCUCUAAGUUGGAAAACGAUAAGGAAACUUCGGAUACUUUAUCAGCAAAGGAACUCUUUGUAGCUACAAGAAAAAGGAAAGAUGGGCGAUCAUACAAGUGCUCGGAUGAAAAUACAACUAGUAAAAUUGCUGAAAUGGAGGAAAUUGAAGCACAACAAAAUGAAAAUGGCAAUGAGUCCGUAGAUGCAUUUGCAUCUGUCAUGGGGCCUGAACAUCUGGGACGUCUGAGAUUGUAUGGACGAGGGGUUACAAUAACUUCUUUGAGAGGGAAAGUAGGAUGUUUUGAAUCCUCUUCAAAUACUACAAAUUAUCUACAAAAAAUGGAGGAGAAGAUACAAACAAUGGAGGAAAAAAUUGAGGAACAAAAGGAACUAUCCGUCAAGAAGUUGUUGCAGAUGUCCUUGCACGACUUCAGCGUUCAGGAAUUGAUAUUGAUGCUAACAUUAUUCUAGCGGCAUUGGGUGAUAAUUCUCUAUGAGAAGCUUCUUCUGCACAACAAGCAACUUUGCAACCAAUCCGUCGUCCAUCUACUAAUAGCAACAAAGAAGGCCAACUCAUUCCAGGUGCAGUGAUUGCGGAUGAAAGCAGUGAGUGUUGUUGAUCGUUGUUAGACUUUCUAUUAUUAUGUUUAAGGAUAUUUUAGUUUAGAACUUUUUGUAUGCAAACUCAUCUAUUUGGACUUUUGAAUUGUUUGACCAAACAAUGCAUCCAUAUUUUUUUUUUUUGUACAUGGAUAAUGCUAGUUGGAUAUGGUGUAAACAAUUUCAUAGAAUAGGAAACUACUUCUCAUUUUGCUUCCAUAAAUAUCAGAAAUUACAAUUUGUU